CAAACGCCAGCCCAAAUCAUGAUGAAGAAGAAACCAAUCUUACAUUAGCACAACAACAAGAAGAUGAAGAACAUGAAGAAGAAGAAGAAGAUGAUGAUGAAGAUGAAGAAUUUACAUACGAUUCAAGGAUACCCAGUUUUCAAAACAAAGAUUUGUCUACAGAGGAAGUGGCAGCCAUCAAAAUCCAAGCUUGUUUCAGAGGCCAUCUUGCAAGACGAGCAUUUCAAGCACUAAGAAGCUUGGUGAAGCUGCAAGCGCUGGCUCGAGGGGUGUGUGCGAGGAGGCAGGCGCGGGUAGCUCUUCAAUUCAUGCAUGCAUUGGUUCGAUUGCAGGUUCGGGUUCGUGCUCGCCAGCUUCUGAACAGAUACAGUGAAGAGUCUGAUUAUUGAAGAUUGUUUCUUCAAAGCUGAAGAGAAAAGGUAUCAUUUAUACUACUAGCAGAUGCUUCUACAGGACAUAUAAUAGUGUGGCUAAGUUCAUUCAGAAUUCUUUUCUUUUGUGUUUAUAUCCUCUGUUUGAUUGUUGUUUGGAGAUUCUCUUCUUGACCUUUAUUUCUCAAGUGUUUUGCAGCUAGUUUUUGAAGUUUUAUGCUUUAGUACGAUUCUCGAGCUGCACGAGUUGAAUCCAAGUGCCAAUUCUUUUCUUGUUAAUGAUUGAUUAUCAGUUCUCUUCUCUUCUCACAAAUAAUUUGUACACAACUUGAUUUAAGAUUCAAAA